UGACACGCAGCAAAGGACCUGAACCUGUGCCACUGCCAAGCGUUCAGCCUACAUGGGGUCCACACUGUACCAGAUAGAUCCUUUGGAAAGUACCAGUCACAAGCAACAGAAGACCCCCAGUCUUCCUCCAUUUUCAUCUUUCAGCCAACAUGGCUCCUCUGUGACAGCUGCUUAAGAACGACACCACCUGGCCCCGGGCCCCCAAAACACGAAGAGGCACUACGGUUCAUCAAGCCACCACUCACCAACCCCACUCUCACA